rnacentral:rRNA from 1 species
ACUGAACGCUGGCGGCAGGCCUAACACAUGCAAGUCGAGCGAGCGGCGGACGGGGGCGUAAUGUAUGGGGACUGCCGGAUAGAGGGGGAUAACUACUGGAAAAGGUAGCUAAUACCGCAUACUAUCCGAUAACCCAUAUGGGAGUAGCUAGAAGGUGAGUGAAUGGCCCACAUAGGCGACGAUCCCUAGCUGGUCUGAGAGGAUGAUCAGCCACACUGUGACUGAGACACGGCCCAGACUCCUACGGAGGCAGCAGUGGGGAAUAUUACGCAAUGGACGCAAGCCUGAUACAGCCAUGCCGCGUGUAUGAAGAAGGCCCUAGGGUUGUAAAAUACUUUCCGUCGAGAGGCGUUACCGACAGAAGAAGCACCGGCUAACUCCGUGCCAGCAGCCGCGGUAAUUC